GACGAACGCUGGCGGCGUGCUUAACACAUGCAAGUCGAACGGAAAGGCCCUGCUUUUGUGGGGUGCUCGAGUGGCGAACGGGUGAGUAACACGUGAGUAACCUGCCCUUGACUUUGGGAUAACUUCAGGAAACUGGGGCUAAUACCGGAUAGGAGCUCCUGCUGCAUGGUGGGGGUUGGAAAGUUUCGGCGGUUGGGGGUGGACUCGCGGCUUAUCAGCUUGUUGGUGGGGUAGUGGCUUACCAAGGCUUUGACGGGUAGCCGGCCUGAGAGGGUGACCGGCCACAUUGGGACUGAGAUACGGCCCAGACUCCUACGGGAGGCAGCAGUGGGGAAUAUUGCACAAUGGGCGGAAGCCUGAUGCAGCAACGCCGCGUGCGGGAUGACGGCCUUCGGGUUGUAAACCGCUUUCGCCUGUGACGAAGCGUGAGGGACGGUAAUGGGUAAAGAAGCACCGGCGAACUACGU
rnacentral:rRNA from 1 species